GAGUGGCGGCGUGCAUUACUAUUACAAGUCGAGCGGAAGGCCCUUCGGGGUACUCGAGCGGCGAACGGGUGAGUAACACGUGAGUAACCUGCCCCUGACUCUGGGAUAAGCCCGGGAAACUGGGUCUAAUACCGGAUACGACCGGCUCUCGCAUGAGAUGCUGGUGGAAAGUCUUUUCGGUUGGGGAUGGACUCGCGGCCUAUCAGCUUGUUGGUGGGGUAGUGGCCUACCAAGGCGACGACGGGUAGCCGGCCUGAGAGGGCGACCGGCCACACUGGGACUGAGACACGGCCCAGACUCCUACGGGAGGCAGCAGUGGGGAAUAUUGCGCAAUGGGCGAAAGCCUGACGCAGCGACGCCGCGUGGGGGAUGACGGCCUUCGGGUUGUAAACCUCUUUCAGCAGGGACGAAGUUGACGUGUACCUGCAGAAGAAGCGCCGGCUAACUACGUGCCAGCAGCCGCGGUAAUACGUAGGGCGCAAGCGUUGUCCGGAAUUAUUGGGCGUAAAGAGCUCGUAGGUGGCUGGUCGCGUCUGCCGUGAAAGCCCGCAGCUUAACUGCGGGUCUGCGGUGGAUACGGGCCGGCUAGAGGUAGGUAGGGGCAAGUGGAAUUCCUGGUGUAGCGGUGAAAUGCGCAGAUAUCAGGAGGAACACCGGUGGCGAAGGCGGCUUGCUGGGCCUUACCUGACGCUGAGGAGCGAAAGCGUGGGGAGCGAACAGGAUUAGAUACCCUGGUAGUCCACGCUGUAAACGUUGGGCGCUAGGUGUGGGGAUCUUCCACGAUCUCCGUGCCGGAGCUAACGCAUUAAGCGCCCCGCCUGGGGAGUACGGCCGCAAGGCUAAAACUCAAAGGAAUUGACGGGGGCCCGCACAAGCGGCGGAGCAUGUUGCUUAAUUCGACGCAACGCGAAGAACCUUACCAAGGUUUGACAUCACCCGGAAAGCUUCAGAGAUGGAGCCCUCUUCGGACUGGGUGACAGGUGGUGCAUGGCUGUCGUCA
rnacentral:rRNA from 1 species